rnacentral:piRNA from 5 species
GGUUAGCACUCUGGACUCUGAAUCCA